CCAAGAUAAAUACCCUAACAACAACCCCAAGGUAAGUACCCUAACCACAACCCCAAGAUAAGUACCCUAACCACAACCCCAAGGUAAGUACCCUAACCACAACCCCCAGAUAAGUACUCUAACCACAACCCCAAGGUAAAUACCCUAACCACAACCCCAAGGUAAGUACCCUAACCACAACCCCAAGGUAAAUACCCUAACCACAACCCUAAGGUACGUACCCUAACCACAACCCCAAGAUAAAUACCCUAACAACAACCCCAAGGUAAGUACCCUAACCACAACCCCAAGAUAAGUACCCUAACCACAACCCCAAGGUAAGUACCCUAACCACAACCCCAAGAUAAGUACCCUAACCACAACCCCAAGGUAAGUACCCUAACCACAACUACUGAGAAGCCCCUCACUGGGUCCCAAAUGAUAACCUAUUCCUAUACACUACUGGGAAGCC
ensembl:lncRNA